UAGGGAAUCUUCGGCAAUGGACGAAAGUCUGACCGAGCAACGCCGCGUGAGUGAAGAAGGUUUUCGGAUCGUAAAACUCUGUUGGUAGAGAAGAACGUUGGUGUGAGUGGAAAGCUCAUCAAGUGACGGUAACUACCCAGAAAGGGACGGCUAACUACGUGUCAG
rnacentral:rRNA from 1 species